rnacentral:tRNA from 2 species
GCAGUAGUGGCCGAGUUGUUAAGGCGAUGGACUAGAAAUCCAUUGGGGGUCUCCCCGCACAGGUUCGAAUCAUGUCGAUUGCG